rnacentral:lncRNA from 1 species
GUACAAGGGUGUGAGCAGCCACAGUGAGUAACAGGGAAUCCGGUUAGAAGAGAUCUGUUACCACCCCGGGCUGUGAGGAGACACAGGACAGGCCCAGGGUCUGUGGGCAGCAUGCGGAGCCCCUCGGGGUGAUGGCUGAGCUACAAGGCCCCACCCCCUCGGAUUGCCCUCUGCUCUGCUGAAACCAGAGGCCAGAAGACAAGGAAGCCCAAGUAGACCCUCGGAGCUGGUGAGAACAGAGACGAAGCUGGUCUGAAACAGCACACCAGAAAUGCACAGGACAUUACCUCGAUCUGCAGGAGCAGGGGUGAGUUCAGCAACACAAGAACAGAUGGUGGAAACCUGUCUCAACUCAUGAUUUUGAACAAAGGUGUGAGAUGGCGCCAGGAAUACCAACCUAUCUCAUUGAGUGGCUUGAGAGAUUAUUGACAAGGGACAUUGUCCCUUGAGAGAUUAUUGACAAGGGAGUGGUUUUAAAAUAUCAUGGUGAAAAUGCGCUGUAAUAGAGACUCUCACAUUUUGUGUU